GCUUGUGGGUGUUCUAUGACUAAUACUAGUUUGACUAAUUAUGUGUUGUAUUGGAUCUAGAAUUUAUGACUUUUAAGUUAUGCUUAAUUAAAUUAUGUGAUUUAGAUGUUAAUUUCUUUAUAUGAUAUUUUUUAUGCU